CCGGCUUGGUUAGUACUUGGAUGGGAGACCGCCUGGGCAAUACCAGGUGCUGUAAACCUUUUC
rnacentral:rRNA from 1 species